AUUCAGCUGAGGAGUCCCAAAUAGAAGAAAACGUAAGUUCUGGAU
rnacentral:hammerhead_ribozyme from 1 species